rnacentral:rRNA from 1 species
GUACACGCUGUGACUAGCAUAUCAAUAAGCGGAGGAAAAGAAACUAACAAGGAUUCCCCUAGUAACGGCGAGUGAAGCGGGAAGAGCUCAAAUUUGAAAUCUUAAAGGGUUUCCCCUUACGAAUUGUAGUUUAAAGAAGUGUUUUCUGUUGAGGUUUUGGUAAAAGUUCUUUGGAAUAGGACAUCAUAGAGGGUGAGAAUCCCGUAUUUGACCUUUACUUUCAACUUUGUGAUACACUUUCAAAGAGUCGGAUUGUUUGGGAAUGCAGUCCAAAAUGGGUGGUAAAUUUCAUCUAAAGCUAAAUAUUGGCGAGAGACCGAUAGCGAACAAGUACCGUGAGGGAAAGAUGAGAAGAACUUUGAAAAGAGAGUUAAACAGUACGUGAAAUUGUCAAAAGGGAAGCGUUUGACACCAGUGUUGUUUUUCUGAAAAUCAAUUAAAGAACUGUUUAUGCUAAGUUGUUUAGACUUUAUCAGCUAUCUGUUUAGUUUUAGGCUUUUCUUUAAUGCACUUUUCAGUUAACAAGUCAACAUCAAUUUCUUUUGCUGUAAAAAAGCUUGAGGAAGGUGGCUUGAGAUUCGUCUUAAGUGUUUAUAGCCUCUUGCCUAUGCAGUCGGAGAGAUUGAGGUCUGCAGCGUAGAUCCUUCGGGGCUAAAUGCAUUUGUGCUGAAGUUAUAGCAUUUUAUAGACAACUUGUUGACUAUGAUUUGUCUUGUAGCUUACUCGCUUAUGUUAUUUUACCUACGCUUAGGAUGUUGAUAUGCAUGACUGAUAU